GAUAAUGAAAAGAAGUUAGUUCAGGAAGUUCAUCAGCUUACCUGAAAAGGUAUCUACUUAGUCGAUUUAGCAGAGGGAAGUAUGUGGGUGCAGAAUAGUUCAGAAUCAUCUCUGGUUUCUGAAUAGUUUAGUCAAGUUGAAAUAGUUAAUUAGAGAUCAGAAAGUAGAGGUUUUGUCCCAAGGGGAAAUGGUGUGUUGCAAUACCAGGGUCGGUUAUGCG
rnacentral:lncRNA from 1 species